rnacentral:misc_RNA from 1 species
GCUUCGCAACACUUUCAGCUUCAGCUCCAUUUCCUACUGUAACACUGGACUUCACCUACCCUCCCAUUUCCAAUUCCUCACAGAGAAUUCAAGGCCAUUUCCUUCUCCCUUCUGAUCUGAACUUCCCCCACAAUUUUGCGUCUGUGCCAAAUGUUUCUUCGCGAGCCCUAUGCAACCAAUAUAAAGUUUCUGGUCUUUUAAGCCCUCAUCAGGGAAUGGAGCUGCCUCAAAUACCUCCAUCGGCGGACAGUAGUGUUAGUGUAGCAGCGGCUGGUAGCAGACCCUGACUUCACUGCAGCUCUAGUUGCAGCGAUCAGUUCCAUCAUUGGCAAUGUUCAAGCAAGUAGUAGUGCUAAUAACGGCUCCACUAUAAGGAACAGUAUUGACAACAGCACAUGAAAUGAGCGUAAAAUAUUUGUAUUGAUAUUGACGAAGAAAUUUCUCAAUGCACUUUACACUGUCG